UUCCCUCUCGUCUAAGUUGACUUAGUGAGACGCGUUCAACCUCCUCCAUUGAAGGUUCAGCCUUGAGUUCAUAGCCAAAACCCUAGCCAAGGGGGCCUCUGUAUCAAAAGUAAUAAUGGUGUUUAUCAACUUAAAGAGGAAUUAGGAAUCUUUUUGCUUUCUUACUUGCAGUGGGACGUACGGAAGAGUAUGUUUUGCUGUGAGUCUACGAUUAUGUUUAUUGUUUUUUUUUUUUUUUUUUUUUAAUAAAAGUUUAGGCGAGUAGAGAGUUUUGCAAAAGAUAGAUUGAAUUUGAGUCGGAGCUAGACCAACUGAUAAGCCUACUUUGGCAAUAGCUAAAACAAUUGUAGAGAGACGGAGCAAUAUUUGUUGAGAGAGAUAAAUACUAGCUUCUGAGAACUAGAGAAACUGUAAUCACAUGAGAUUACUUUUAUUGUUUGAGUUUUAUUGAUUAUUUAUUUAAACUAUAUGAGAGAUUUUUAGGUAGGACAGGCGUGCCACGUAGCCGUACGCCCAAUCAAUUAUUGUCUAUGUAGGGGGUGUUUUGGGUAUUUCAUUAUAAUUAAACAUGAGUAAUUUUGAAAUUCAAUUAAAAAUAGAGAGAUAUGAUUGGUCGGGUGUACCACGUGGGUGGCUGGUAUGUUUGCCAUAUCUAAGAAUUGUGUGAUAAAGUGAGCAUGUGAUAUAAUAUUCAGAAUGAUAAUUGCAACACUAGAGUUUAUCACUUUCCACCUUAUGGCUCUCAGAGUUCGGAUCAAAGGCAUCUAUAUCUGGAUUCUUAGGUAUUGCUUCAGCUCAAAUUUGACCUCCUCUGAACGACGAACCAGUAAACAUCCAGGCUUAUAUAUCGCCAAAGAAAAAAACACAUCCAAGCUUAUAUAUAUUCAUAACUAUAGAUGAUGGACAUGGCCAUGCAUGCAUGGGAAUGGGGAUAGCCAACAGAGAAGAAACUGCCCCAUCUGGAUUGAUUCAAUUCCGCUUAAAGUUGCCAAAGCACAGAAAGCGAGAAGGACAAGGACCUGCCUCGGAUCACCACCACCAAACAAAUACGACUCGGAGCCCCAUCGGCCCUACGCCAACUAAUCCUCCAGUCAGAAACCCUCGUGCGGCGUGGCCCAUCCGUCGCCAUCGUAGGCGCACUCUCCGGCUCCUCGACUAGUCUCUAGUCCUAGCUUCAGCCCUAUCUAGUCUCCUACAACAGCGAAACCCUAGACCCCCCACGUGUGCAGUAAUGAGAAUAUAACCACAAGAGAGCGAGCUCCAUCAACCAGUACGUCAGCGUCGGAGUACAGACACCACACGUGAGGACCUGAUAGGGUUUCAUGGCAAUCAUUGAUACAGUAGUUUCUGAGUUCUGACUUUUCACAGCUACUCUACUGUAUCUUUAGUUUCACUGUACUGUUCUUGACAGACGGUACGGAGGACGCCGGCACCUUUGGUUUCCUAUCUUACUUUGGCCCCAGUUUGGUGAAUUGCAAUUUUCACUUCAAUCGUUGGGAGCGAGGAAAAGGAAAUGAAGCAUAUCACAUCAAAUGCAGGCGGCAAAUAUGAGAAACAUGCAUGAAUGGAAUGUGUAUUUGUUAAUUGAGGCCACGAGUGGAUUGUUCCCCAUCCACCUUGCCAAAAAAUUUAAUGCGAAAUUGACGACCAUUCCUAAAAAUUGAAAUACUUCGAAUGCAAAAGCAAAUGAUUUAACUAGUUAGUAUUUGGUUUUUUUUUUUAAUA